AUUGAACGCUGGCGGCAGGCCUAACACAUGCAAGUCGAGCGAGCGGCGGACGGGUGAGUAAUGUCUGGGAAACUGCCUGAUGGAGGGGGAUAACUACUGGAAACGGUAGCUAAUACCGCAUACCAUCAGAUGUGCCCAGAUGGGAUUAGCUAGUAGGUGGGGUAACGGCUCACCUAGGCGACGAGACCUAGCUGGUCUGAGAGGAUGACCAACAACACUGGAACGUAGACACGGUACAGACACUGACGGGAGGCAGCAGUGGGGAAGAUUGCAGAAUGGGAGGAAGCCUGAUGCAGCCAUGCCGCGUGGGUGAAGAAGGCCUUCGGGUUGUAAAGCAGUUUCAGCGGGGAGGCGUUACCCGCAGAAGAAGAACCGGCUAACUCCGUGCCAGCAGCCGCGGUAAUUC
rnacentral:rRNA from 1 species